AACACGGACCAAGGAGUAAAGCGUAUGUGCAAGCAGAAGCCAUAGUAAUGGUGUAUGCGUAACGAAAGUAAGCUAGUAUUAAUAGUAAUAUGAUAUACUGACCAAUCCAGUAUUAACAUGAGCAUGUCGAUUGUUAAGUGGAAUUGAGUUAGAGUAUAUAUGCUUUGACCCGAAAGAUGGUGAUCUAUACUUGAAUUGGCUGAAGUCAGAGGAAACUCUGAUGGAGGGUCUCGAACGGUGCUGACGUGCAAAUCGCUUGUCAGACUUGAGUAUAGGGGCGAAAGACUCAUCGAACCAUCUAGUAGCUG
rnacentral:rRNA from 1 species